CCUACGGGAGGCAGCAGUGAGGAAUAUUGGUCAAUGGACGAGAGUCUGAACCAGCCAAGUAGCGUGAAGGAUGACUGCCCUAUGGGUUGUAAACUUCUUUUAUAUGGGAAUAAAACGUUACACGUGUGGGAGUUUGUAUGUACCAUAUGAAUAAGGAUCGGCUAACUCCGUGCCAGCCGCGGUAAUACGGAGGAUCCGAGCGUGAUCCGGAUUUAUUGGGUUUAAAGGGAGCGUAGGUGGUUUGAUAAGUCAGUUGUGAAAGUUUGCGGCUCAACCGUAGAAUUGCAGUUGAAACUGGCGGUCUUGAGUACAGUAGAGGUAGGCGGAAUUCGUGGUGUAGCGGUGAAAUGCAUAGAUAGCACGAAGAACUCCGAUUGCGAAGGCAGUUCACUGGACUGCAACUGACACUGAGGCUCGAAAGUGUGGGUAUCAAACAGGAUUAGAUACCCCGGUAGUC
rnacentral:rRNA from 1 species